rnacentral:rRNA from 1 species
UGCGUAGGCGGGCUAAUAAGUCAGUGGUGAAAUCUCUCGGCUCAACCGGGAAACUGCCAUUGAUACUGUUAGUCUUGAGUUCGGUUGAGGUAGGCGGAAUGUGUAAUGUAGCGGUGAAAUGCUUAGAUAUUACACAGAACACCAAUUGCGUAGGCAGCUUACUAGACCGACACUGACGCUGAGGCACGAAAGCGUGGGGAGAGAACAGGAUUAGAUACCCUGGUAGUCC